rnacentral:rRNA from 1 species
AUGGCCAAUUUCCAGAUAACUCCCCGUGCCGCGUUCGUGGAGAGCAAUGAGCUCAACUUCCGCAGCCUGUACCUUUUCCACACUCCCCUUGGUUCAAACCAGAAUCAGUCAGGCAUAAUAGACUCAAAUGUUACUACCGGUUUGGGUGCGACCGUCGUUAACAACUGGCCGAUAUGUGAUGGCCCUAGCACCGGCGCCACCAUUGUUGCACGUGCACAGGGCCUACAUAUCUAUGCCGGUAACUGGCAGAAUACUUUCAGCAUAACUUUCGAGGUUGAAAGGUUUAAGGGAUCAACGCUUCAAGUGAUGGGGAUAUCCGUUGAAGAAGGUGAGUGGGCUAUUGUUGGUGGGACAGGACAGUUCGCUAUGGCGACUGGUGUCAUCUACAAAAAGUUCCAUGAACAAAGGAGCGACGGUAACAUCAUAGAACUCACUGUCCAUGGAUUUUGUCCCAUGCUGAAAGGUUCACAGAGCCUUCCCACAAAGGUUGGACCAUGGGGUGGAAAUGGAGGCUCGGAUAAAGACAUCGUCAAGGCACCAAGACGUCUAGAGAGCAUCACAGUUAGCAGGGGCACUAUCAUUGAUUCAAUCAAAUUUUCUUAUGUCGACCAAGCUGGUCAGAAGCGCACUGUUGGACCCUGGGGAGGUUCUGGAGGAAAACAAAAUACGUUCGUACUCGGCACUUCUGAGUUUGUGAAGGAAGUUUCUGGAACAUUCGGCCUUUAUGGCAGAGACAACCACAACAUAAUAACAUCACUAAAAUUUGUCACCAACGUGAAGACAUACGGGCCUUUCGGACAAGCAAAGGGAACCACUUUCACCAUACCUGUCGUGGAAUUGUCACGUCAGAUGUCCUCAUGCUAG